UAUUUCAACACAGUCUCACACCCUAUUCGUCACAUACUGCCGUUUGGUCAUGACCCCCUCACGUCCAUAGCGGACGUUGAGGGUACCCCCUAUUCGUCGCUUGAAAACGUAGAGGGUCGUCCUAUAGAUUUGAAUGCAAACCCCUCAUCUUUGAAUUUUGACGAAAUGGGUUUAUCGGUUUGCCUGCGCAAUAUGGUUUUAGGCGAUUGAUUUUAUGCUGCAAAUGUGCAUUUUGCACAAGCGUGCGGCGCAUAAACGGUUACAAUCAUUAUUGAUGCGGUGACCAAACAUUUUCGUGGAGCGGAAAGCCUUCUGAAUCGGUGUAUCACGACUUUUCUCUCUCUUUUUAUAUAGAUAUAUUUGGUAUACAAUAAAAUGACAUAUUUACAGGGCUGUAUUUGCUGUGUGUUUAAAACAUGCCUUAAUUAACGUAGAUAUUUUAUUAUUUUCGAUCACGCACAGUUGGUCAUUCCCCCUCACGUCUAUAAGCUGACGUUGAGGGUACCCCCCAAUUCGUCGCUUGACAACGUAGAAGGGUCGUCCGAUAUUUGAAUCCAAAUCCCUCAUCUUUGGAUUUUGACGUAAUGGGGGUAUUCAUGCCUGCGCUGCAAAGUAUGUUUUAGGCGAUUGAUUUUAUUGUUCAAAUGUGUAUUUUGCAGUAGCGUGCGGCUGUUAAUUCAUUGGUGCGGUCACUACAUUUUCGUGGGGCAGAAUCCCUUGUCUGAAGCGGGAUCACGAAUUUCUCUCUCUUUAAGUUUCUCUUUAAAUAUAUAUUGUUCUACAUUAAAAUGACAUGUUUACAGGACUGUAUAUUUGCUGUAUGUUUAAUUAAGAUAUACCCAAGGCAGUUCGUGUAAUUUAAUCGAUUCGUGUCCAUGGACACGAUUUUCCCCUUUUUUCGUGCCAGUCAGAACGACUUUCAAUCUAAUGUAUUUCAAUAGGAAGUAUUUUUCGUGCCUGCACCACGUUUUUUUGUCCUAUUAUUUUUUUCGUGUUUAUAAGCACGAAUUUAAUCUAAUGUAUCGCAAUAGUAUAUACCAGGGAUUGUUUUACUUUAUUUGUCAUUAAUUGAUUACACUUUAAGCGCUACUUUACUCAACAUUUAAUCAGGAGAUGUUUAUCCUAUAAUAUUGAUUUUUUUGAUCGGUUUCGUGUGUCAAAUACAAGAAUUAAUACUACAGUACCCAUGAGCCUUAUCGACAUCUACUAUGGUGAAGGCACCAGCUAAAACUACAUGUGGGCCCGCUGCAGAUCACAAUAUUUUCUCAACACAUGAAUACUAACGUGUGCUUGAUAAUUCAACAAUACGAUGUUAUGGCCAUCAAUUUUGAUUGUUUCUACUUUGAUUGUAAAAAAAAAAAUAAGUCAGUUUCGGACGCCUGCAUUUCCCAGAAUCCUCUCUGCCUUCGUUGCUAUGGAAUCUGAGCCAGUCCUCUUUGCUAUUGGGUGAUUUCUUCUUCGGUACUCGUAAUUGACAGGGAUUCUCUCAUACGCGAAAAUCAUUGUCCAGCUGUGUGUUUGUCUUUCUGUCUUUGUCUGCUUUGCAAUGGCCACCAGAUAUACCCCUCACAAACAGGAUCCCCACUACCAAGAGGGGAGGCUCAUGGCUCUUGAGCUGAACCAUGACCACAAUCUAGCUGAAGCCAAGGUUAGAGUUUUUAUUUACCUGUUAGUUUAUACUUAAACAUAAUGGAUGUGUGACAACUUAAAAUAAAAAUGAUAAAUAUGGAAAAGAGAUGAGUGUUGAAGAUUUAAUACGGUAUAUUGUAAUAGCAACUUAUUUAGCAACUAACAUCCUAUAAUGUUCCGUGGCAUGUUUUAAUAAGGUAAUAUAUUUUGGAAAAGAGAGGUUUCAUCCCCUGAGUUUCAGAGACUUGGAGAAUCUAUGCCAAGGCUCAUUUAGGUGUUUCAAUACUUAUGCUGUGUUUCCUUUAGUUGUUGCAUGUUUUUCACGUCCUGUACCUUUAUUAGUCUUACAAGAAAUAUUCACUUCAACACACACAGAGCAGCUGUGGAGACGAAAUGUUUAUGCCCUAGAAGAGACCCUUCACAGACCUCUAAAAGGAUCUUUGUUGGCUGGGGCAAGCCGAGGGGGAGGCAAGGAGGGUGACGCCAAGCCUCAGCUACAGGUCACUUUUACAGGUUGAGUGCUUCCUGUCAUCCAGUGUGGAGUUUCCACUUAACUGUACCCUCAGCAAAACUAAAUCCUCAUGAGGAAUUUGGUGCAGAGAGUGGUUCUGUGGGGACCGUGAUGUAUUACGUCACAAAAAACAGCCACUCCCCAAUAGGGAAUGUGUAAUUAAUAGUUUUUUUGUAGCCAUCCGUCCAACCAAAUGCAUCAUUAAAGGGGAAGAUGGAUAUUGCACUCAACACAAGAUAUGUUCAUCAUUCAUCAGUUCUCACUUCCCUGGACUUCAACCUGGCUACACACAUGGGCGUUUUGACUUGCCUCAGCCACUGUAUGUCUGUUAAACAUGCAAACAGCAAAGGACCCCAGACCUGAAAGACCUUCUGAGGAGUGGAUAUUGGCCAGCUUCAAUAAACAACACCACACUUUACACACUGGACCUCCUGAUCUCCUUUCAAGAACUCAAGGUCAUCUCUCCAAGAUUUUCCAGACAAGCCUUCGCAAAGCUGCUGGAGCAUCGCACGAAGUGUGGAGGAAGAUUUGGAUAUAUCAACGGCGAUGCACUGCAAUGCAGCUUCUUGGAGUUUUCAUACGCUUCAUUUGAAUCAGACCAGCUCUGGUGUGGUGCUCCUUUCACCUGCCCAGCCUGAACGCUAGAAUUGUUGGCUGCUUCAGCAGAUCGAAACAGAAAGCUAUAUCGCUUUUGCCGAAACAGAAGACUGUGGCUUGCAAAUAUUGGCCAUACUUGAAGAAAGUUGCUAGUGUCCUUCCUGAUCUUCAGGAGCUGACCUCAAUGAAACCUUUCCUUAAUGUCAUGCAUGCUUGAGCCACGCUACAACGUGUGAGAUUAAAUGAAGUGGUAGGAACCAGGAAGGAACAGGGACAACCACCGGUGAGUGGAGCAAGUGAACAGCUACCUUUCACGUUGUGCCCGUACAACCAAAUAUAUGUCCAAAGCAGCACCGGUGGACAUGCUUACAUUGCAUGCAAUGGGCUGGAACCAUAAAAAAGUAUCUCUCUACAUCAGGCACUUUCCACAAUAUAUGUGAAAACAUCCAGCACGAGACUGCAAAGCUAGCAGAACUAAAAACAAAGCUACAUUGCAAAGAUGAAGUGCCGUCACAAUGGCUUUCUGAUGUGAAAGAAUGGGCAGCUGGUGCAGCAUGCUUCGCCACCGCCUUCGAAGUAAGCUGGCAGAGGACAAAAAGCUCCUUCUUCAGGAGAUACAGAAAUACAAUGAUCUUGUACUAGACUCUGCCACAAACAUCAUUGACCUAGCUUUGGUGGAGCAUUCCCUCACUGGAGAGAGCAGUGUGUCUCAGAUAUGGCCGUGCGACCUUAAUGGCAGUGCAAACAUUUCAGUCAAGAAACGAUUGCAUGACCAAGUGAUGUUGACAAUGUGACUGCAAGAGGAAAGGGGCAUUGUGGUGUUGGAGAUGGCACAAGACUACACAUGUGUGCAGAGCCUGGCAGUGGCUCUCAAGAACAAGAUGGCUGAGGAGGACAAGGGAAAUGAAGGAGUUUGCUGUCUCUUAAGAAGAAGAUCGUCAGUGGUGUCAGAAGGGUUGCAAGUCGUCCUUCAACAAUACAAGACUGCAUUAGGUCUUGAGGUCUCUGUCCUUCUACAUGUUGAAGAAGAAGAUCAAAGUGACCUCAGCAGUCCAGAUACCAGCGAGGAUGAAAACAUAAUUUAGAUAGAAACUGCACAAAGGACUGCGUUUAAGGAAAUGGACUUGGCAUAUAUCUGUGUAGUGUUAGUAUGCUAACUACAUUAUUAUCUGUAUGCAUCCUAUAUUGUUGAAAUGUUCAACCUGUGUCUAGAUUAUCAAGCAUGUUAUUUAGGACGUUGAUGCUCCUUAAAUAUGCACAAACAUCUCAAUAUAGGUGUAACAAUCGUAUGAUAUUAUCAGAUGUAAUAAUUGAACUGAUGUUAUAUUUGGCUAGUGUAUUCAUAAUUUGUGUUUUUAAAGUUGCUAAUGGGCAUUGUUAGCCACAUCACAAACUCAAUGUUAAAACACUGCUUUUUGUGCUUUAUUGUGUUUAUGUACUUGCAUUGGUGCAGUAAUAUCGAUGUUAUGCAGUAAGGUCAUUGGUGUGUUUUACAAUGGCUUUGAACAGAGCUCAACCAAUCAGAAUAAUCAUUGAUAAUAAAGUAAAAGUUUUAUAACGGGUAAGUUGGUAUGAAAUAUUGUAAGCACAUUCAUCAGGAUGACUUUGCUGACCUUUUGACCUUUAUUACCACAUUUAGGCCAAACUGUGAAAACUCUACUUGAUUGAGUGUAUUAUAGGAUAUAACUGUUGUGCACCAUUGAAGAUAAACAUCAUAAAUUCUUUCUUAAAGAUGGAUAAUUUGUUGGCCAUGUGUCUGUCACUAUCAGUUCUGUUCUUAUAAGCACACUGUACAUUAAGCACUAUAGUAUGCAAAAGAAAAAUACACUACAUUUAUAUUUUAUGAUUAUACUUAUAUUGUGUAUUACUACAUUUGAUAGAUAACUUUAUUCCCCUGUUCUGCUGGUUGUUUUCAAGUGUACUUAACAGUUUAGUGUUAUUAAAUUCAGCCUUAUGGCUUGAUUGACAAAUUUGCAUUUCAUGUAUUUUCACUGCUUUUAUUGUGAAAGACAAAAAAUAAAGUGUUUCUAAACAUGAA